CUGGAGAUCCCUGCCUAUGUGAGGCCUUUUAAAGGAGAUUGUGAAGUCAUUUGUGGUACACCUGUGUUUUUUGGAAAAAAAGAUAAUUCCUUGUGAUUCCAGCAGAAGCAAAUGCAUUUUUAUAGGAAAUCCUGAGUGCAGAACCUGGACUUUCAUCUGCUUCUUAAACACCAGUGCCUACAGAAGCCCAUCCCCAGUGCCCAGCACUGCUGUGUCCUGAUUUCAGCUGGGAAAGUGCUGAACAAAGUUCUGGACCAGAAGCUGAUGGCUUCAAUUCUGACUGCCAUCACUCUGUGCCCUCUGACUGAUAGGACUGUCAUUGCUUGCACACACCUGAGCAGAACAAGGAGCAGUGACUGUGCAUUUCUGGUUGUGUGAGGAAACACUGAAAGUUCCCAAUGGAAAAUUGAGCAGGGAGAAUAGCAGGACGGGGUCCUCUUGCUUUGUCAGCCAGAACAAAUGUCUGCCAGGAUCCUGAGCAGCCUGCUGCAAGCAGCAUGACCCAAAGCUCAGAGAGCCAGAGGAAAAGGUGGGGGAAAGCUGAAGACGGCACCGUUUGUUGGGGAUGCUGAUUCCAAGCUCUGAAAUAGGCUCUGCACUGAGGCUGCCUUGUGUUUGCUGUUAGCAGCAGAUCUCCAGCUGAUUUUAAAAAAGGACAAAUUCUGUUCUUCUGUUCUGCAAUUUUCAUUGCUGCUGUUUGCCCCUGGCUGAAUCCCUGCUCCAUGUGUUUUAAUGCUUGAGAAUUUUAGAGUGUGAAUUAACAUUUUGGAGGGAGCCCUAGAGUCAGAGGCAAAAAACUGCUGCCGGAAUGGAGUUCUAUAGAGAUAACAGAGGAUGGCGAAGCGUUUACUAAAAGCUCAUUGAAAUUGUUUAAAGGUUUGAUGGCGCUCAAAACAAAUUAGGACCAGGGGAGCGGUUAGCAGAGAGCCAUGCAUCUGACACAGCUCCAUUCCUGCUUCCCACUGCUGUGGAUGCACCCCUUAUCCACUGUCACACAGCGUGCUGCCCAUGCAGGCAGCUCCCCUGCUCCCCAGGCCCUCCUCCCGCAGACAGUGAGUGGUUUUAAAGUGAGAGAUGUUCUUCUCUGUAAGCUGUAAUUUGGUGAAAAAUAACAGAAAAUUGUAGGCUUCUUAAUUCUCUUGUUUUCAAUUAUUCCAUUACAUUGUUGUUGCAUGUAUGCAUAAGGACAAGAAGGUUGGUGUUCCUAACUUAUAACGACAUGCUUCUAAACUAAUUAAAAUGCUUCUCCCCAUCUUUUGGCUGACCAGCCCCUGGAUGGGAAAUGGCUUCUUGGAAUUAUCAAAUGUCUUAAUCUUUAGAAAAGAGAAGCAGUUGCACCCAGGAUUCAUCAAAGGCCCAUCUACAUCACAGCUGUUUUCAUUUGGGAAAAGAAGUCAGUCACCAACCCAACCAAUUAAAACAAGCAAACAAACACCUGGAGCCUCCAAGCAUGGCCCCGAGUGCUGCUCCUGACUUUGGAUGACAGCCUGCAGAAUGCACAGCAGCAGUACCCCCCCAUGGUGCUAUGAGAGCCAUGUUCCCACCUCAGACAUUCUCAGGCCCUUCUAUCUGCACCAUGGCAGCCAUCACAGCACGAGCUCACAGUGCAUUGUGGUGCUGGGGUGGCUAGUGGGAGGCUCCUGGGGAAGCACAUCCUUUCUCACAUGUUAUCUGUCCUCAUCUGUAUUCCCACAUGGCCUGCUUUGGACUCUGCUCUGUUGCAUAAACAUGUCUGAAUAAAAACAGUUUAAAACUUCAGAAACCUGGGGGAGCAUGGGAGCAGCAGAUAACAGCAGAGCAGUCAGGAUAGAAGUCACACCAAUGGCUGCCGAGAGCCUUCUGCUGCCAUCAUGGCUAUCAUAGUGCUCCCUUCUUACUCUGCCAUCUUCCUGCCUCUGUUUUGGUAGACAUCUCUGCUCGAAAGCUCUUUUGCUGCAGCACUACCAAAGCACUCCUUGUUUACCAUGGCAGGUCUGUGCAGCUGGAGGUGGUGGGGGAGCAUGGGCGCAUUGCACAAGAGGUUGCAGUUUUGCUGCCUUUAUUUAUUUAUUUAUUUAUUUUCAAUGAACAAAUCCUUAAACUUAUGAAAAAAAAAAAAAAAAUAAUCCUCUUGUGCAUUGUUCUGCUGCUUCACCAUUUAUUUCCUCAGCUACAGUAGAAGCACUUCUCUCUCCCCAAACAACAGCUGUUUUGGAACGGAUUGCUCAUGUAGAAGAUGCUAUAACACAGUCCUUGCUACUCACUGCGUGCCUACCUGUCACCUGACACACAUUUA